rnacentral:rRNA from 1 species
ACAACGGAUCUCUUGGUUCCAGCAUCGAUGAAGAACGCAGCGAAAUGCGAUAAGUAAUGUGAAUUGCAGAAUUCCGUGAAUCAUCGAAUCUUUGAACGCACAUUGCGCCCUCUGGUAUUCCGGGGGGCAUGCCUGUCCGAGCGUCAUUGACACAAAU